rnacentral:rRNA from 1 species
AGUGAACGCUGGCGGUAGGCCUAACACAUGCAAGUCGAACGGCAGCACAGUAAGAGCUUGCUCUUACGGGUGGCGAGUGGCGGACGGGUGAGGAAUACAUCGGAAUCUACUUUUUCGUGGGGGAUAACGUAGGGAAACUUACGCUAAUACCGCAUACGACCUACGGGUGAAAGCAUGGGAUCUUCUGACCUUGCGCGAUUGAAUGAGCCGAUGUCGGAUUAGCUAGUUGGCGGGGUAAAGGCCCACCAAGGCGACGAUCCGUAGCUGGUCUGAGAGGAUGAUCAGCCACACUGGAACUGAGACACGGUCCAGACUCCUACGGGAGGCAGCAGUGGGGAAUAUUGGACAAUGGGCGCAAGCCUGAUCCAGCCAUACCGCGUGGGUGAAGAAGGCCUUCGGGUUGUAAAGCCCUUUUGUUGGGAAAGAAAAGCAGCAGGUUGAUACCCCGCUGUUCUGACGGUACCCAAAGAAUAAGCACCGGCUAACUUCGUG